GGUGGAUCUUGUUUCAGUUGAGGGUCUUUUAAGGAGAAGGUGUUAAGUAAGGGGGAUUCCAGUCAAGUGUUGUGCACUGUGGGAAAAAUUUCAGCAAAGAGCAGCAACUAUCUCUUGGCGUGGAUCAGUGAGUACGAGGGUAGUCUUGUGCUGUGGAUUUUCGU